rnacentral:rRNA from 1 species
GAUGAACGCUGGCGGCGUGCCUAAUACAUGCAAGUCGAACGAACAGACGCGGAGCUUGCUCCUCUGACGUUAGCGGCGGACGGGUGAGUAACGCGUGUAACACCUACCUAUAAGACUGGGAUCUCUUCGGGAAACCGGAUCUAAUACCGGAUAAUAUAUUGCACCGCAUGGUUGACUAGUGAAAGUCGGUGUUUCUGUCACUUCUAGCUGCAUCUGCGCCGCAUUAGCUGGUUGGUACGGUAACGGCUUAUCACGGCGACGAUGCGUAUACGAGGUAAGUGGCUGAUCGCCCACCUGGGAACUGGGCCACGGUCCAGACGCCUACGGUAGGCAGCAGUAGGGAAUCUUACGCAGUGGGCGAGAGCCUGACGGAGCAACGCGGCGUGAGUGAUGAAGGCCUUCGGAUCGUAAAACUCUGUUAUUAGGGAAGAACAACUGUGUAAGUAACUAUGCACGUCUUGACGGUACCUAAUCAGAAAGCCACGGCUAACUACGUG